rnacentral:rRNA from 1 species
UACGUAGGGUGCAGGCGUUGUCCGGAAUUAUUGGGCGUAAAGCGCGCGCAGGCGGUCCUUUAAGUCUGAUGUGAAAGCCCACGGCUCAACCGUGGAGGGUCAUUGGAAACUGGGGGACUUGAGUACAGAAGAGGAAAGCGGAAUUCCACGUGUAGCGGUGAAAUGCGUAGAGAUGUGGAGGAACACCAGUGGCGAAGGCGGCUUUCUGGUCUGUAACUGACGCUGAGGCGCGAAAGCGUGGGGAGCAAACAGG